AAUAAACUAAUGCUGCUAUGUACCUGGCAGGCUGGCACUGGAAUCUUCAUUAGGUCUCUCCAGCUUGGCAAGCCAGGCCCUUCCUCACAACAUACAAAUGACAGGUUGGCUUCAUUUCACUAGCCUACACACACAUAAUCUCACCAACUUCCUUUCCCUCAAAGAGUUAGUGGCAAGAUGACUGAACUGAACCCACCAAAAUUUGGGCUUACUUGGACCCAAAAAAAAAAA
rnacentral:misc_RNA from 1 species